UCCAAUGAAUUCAACCUUGUCCAGAAAAAAGAGGAGGAAAAAUGUUGAAAAGGGAAAAACAAAAUCAGAGAAUGGAAAAAGGAAAGUGAAAAGAUAAAAUGAAGCAAAAAUGAUCAAGAUUAAGUUAUCUUCACAAGAUUAGAACAAUAUUUCUUUUCUGCUUUCAUUAUUGUGCUUCACCGGUAUUGAGUGAUUGAUUUGAUUGGGAUGUUUAUACCUUUACCUGUUUUUUCCCUUACUAUUCUGGCCCCUUUGUCAUCUACUGGGAGUUUCUGGUUUCUUGAACAAGAUGACAACUUUACUUUCUACCUUUUAUAUCGCUUCAUAUUCACCUCCCUUUGAUGUCUGAUUAUUGCUACAGUUGGUCAAGCAAACCGUAAUUCAUCUUGUGACAGCAAAGCAGAAAAAAAAGAAUUUCCUGAAGACACACUUUCACUCUUCUUUUUUUUAUCAUCAUCCUGUAUCUUGCAUUGGUUUAUGCUUAACUUACCUUCCUAAGGCAACCAAUAAAGUUGCUUUGUACCCUUGAGCCCGGAAGCUGUUCAAAAUGGUCACUUCCUCCGAUAAAAAGUAUUGAACUGGACAAUAGAGAAAAUGAACCUGUAGUUGAACCUCUUUCCGUGUAAACACCGUCAAUUGUUAUUGAAAACUGAAAAGAUCGAAAGCAAAGAGAAAGAGAAACGAGAUGAGAAGUUAUAAAAGCAAUUCAUAAGGAGAAGCAAAACAAGUAAAGAUGAGAUGAAGAGGGAAAAAAGAUGGAGUUCAAUAGUUUGGAAAAGGGAAAAAGUCAAACAACGAGAGAAAAAAGACAAAAUCUAAAUGAAGAUGAAUACCGUUGAUGAAAGAAGAAAGAAAAAGAAAAAGCCAUAAAUGAACAAAAAAAAAGGAACGAUCAGAUAUAAUCUUGAAUACGAUGUGUAAAAGUGGAUGAAAUGUUGCCUUUCAUUUUUACCAUGUAAAAGUUUCCCUUGAUGACUGAAAAUCACGAUUAAGAUAUCAUUGAAAAUGUGAUGACAGACAAUGUAAAGGAGGAGGUAAACGCAGAUGAAGAGGCGGAGGAGGCGGGCAAAAAGAUGAGGAGAAGUGAACAAAAUAUUACUCGAAGCUAUUAUACAUUUUACAAAGAGGAAACUCUCAUGAUGGUGGCGAAAAUAAAAGAGAUGAAAAGGGAGAAACAAAAAAAGAGUUAUCAUCAACCAGCGUAAUUUAAUACAAUAAUCUAUGGUUGAUCCAUUGAAAGGUGAACAGUAAUACACAAACAUACACAUUUAUACACAUACAAAGGAACGAGAGAAUUGAAAAUGAUUUCCAUCAAUCAAUAGCAAAUCAAUAUAUGAAUACAUAUAUUUAUAGCAUUUAUACAAUAUUUAUAAUGUAUAUCUGUAUAUACAUGAAUUUUUGCUAAUAAUCACUGUAAUCACUGUAAUAGUAAUAACCAUAAUAAUGCUGUUAUUGUGGUUAACUUUAACGAGAAAUGAAAAGGGAAGGAAAAAAAUGAGAAAUCUUUUCUUUACUUUCAUUGUUAUUUCAUGUGUAUUAGCGUGAAUCAAAGUAAUUUACUUAGGGUAUCAAAUGAAGGAUAGGUUAAGAGUUAAGGGAAGAUGACUUUGAAUUGUUAGUUGAUUAGAAGUCGCAAUUACCUUGAUUAUCGUUAAAUUAUAACAAACCUAAUGAAUCUAAAGGGAAUUGUUUAACGUGGUAAAACAAAAUCAAGGUAAAAUGUAUGUGUCCAAAUGUGUAUAUGAGUGUGUAAAAAAAAGAGGUAAUACUCAAUGAGGUAUACAAUUGCAAUGAAUUAAUGUGAAAAAGGUAGAGAUGAAAUGGUUCAAUUGAUGGCCAUUCAACGGACCCAAUCAAGUUAAUUUAAAAGGUCGAGUCAUGGUUAAUUAAAGAAACGUUUGGUCAAUCAAAGUUAAUCAAUCUUUUUGCCUUUCUUGGUUCACAAUCUUAAAGUCUUGUUGGCAAUUUAAAUUGGUUGACUUUUGUUUCGCUUACUCUGGCCAAUAAUCAUUUUUCAUGGCAACUUGCUGUUAAGAUGAACCUGUUAAUGAACAAUUACGACUCGAGCAUCAUUUUCAUCAUUCACCUCAACAACAGUGAAAAGUAAUUGCAAUUCAAAGAUGUUAUUACAAUAAUGAACAACAUUACAAGUGAUUGAUUGAACAACUUACAUGACAAAAGCUUGUUGCCCGAUUCAUCUGUAAACAUUGGAAAAAAGAGGGAAAAAAGACAAAAAUUAAAGUUCGCUCAUCAAAUAUAAAAUCAAUAUCAUUAGAUAAAUGUUUCCCUGAAUAAUUAUCAAUAUAAAAAUAUUUGUAAUACUAAAUGAAAAAUGUCGAAUAAAGAAACAAGAAAA